UCGAAUGAUCGUGGUUCUUUGAGCCGACCGGCUUGCCGCCACGUUAAACAAGGCUGCUAAAAGGUCGGGACGGACAUGUC
rnacentral:ncRNA from 1 species